rnacentral:lncRNA from 1 species
UAUUGAAAAUCACUUUAUACAUGAUUGAAUGAUUGCAAUCUGAAUGUAGUCAAUGACUGUAGUAGAACUCAGAAUAAAUCAAACAAAUCUUCCAAAAGAGAUGUGAUUUUAAACAGGAUAUGUGAUUCAAAACAUUAACUAACUAUUCACAUUCACCAUGUUGAGUUCCUACUAAAAGAACAAAAUUUCAAAUGCAAUGAUCAAACCUGCAGUCUCUUAAUGUGAAGCAUAGUAGAAGUGAACAUAUUAUGACCUCAAGUUCCAAAAAAAUAUAAUAAACAUCUAUCUAUAUGUAUGUACAUGUAGUCCAAGCAAUAGUUGUUUGCGCUGAAGCUUCAAAAUGGGCCACAAAGUAUUGAGAGCUGGUGGAAGGGUCUUUUCAGAUGGCUUGCCAAGUAGAAUCAUUAUGGUAGCUAAAGGAGACAUGUGGAACUUUAGGUAGGGAUACUUUCUAAUGAGGUUGUUUGAAAGCAAUUUGUUGCAACAUGUUUGAGCACCCACGAAAAAAAAAUUAAAAAAAAAAAAAAAAAAACACAAAAACACAAAAACACAAAACAAAACAAAACAAAAUAAUCUGUUGAAGAAAUGUUCACCCUAUAGCCAAUGGAUAUUUUUCAUCCAGGUUUUUUCACAACCUGUGAAAGCCCUUCCUCUGAUAAUAGGAGGCAACUGAUCAUUUAAUUAAUAAUAAAUAAAUAAUAAUAAUAAUAAUAAUAAACAUUAAUGGGAUUUGUUGGUGUGGGUACAGCACAUCUUGAGUUACCUCUUCUGGUACUGAAGACAAGGCAGCAUGGUUUGACUUGAAACUUGUGACAGGAGUGUCAAAUGAUGCAGACACAUAUACAUGUAGUGUGCUUGUGGGAUUAAACUCUGCCCUAUUCAAUACACACACUCACACACACAUGGAGAAUGAGCAAGACAGACAGACAGACACACACACACACACACACACACACACCCUGAGAGAAGUUUGUU